UACAGGGAAAGAUCUUCAUCAAUCAGCCCAGCUAGAGAUUCUAGGGAUUUCUCACACUUUUUCAGUGAAUUUGUGUUCUCUGGCUCUGUGCACGUCAAUUCUCAAUUAGGGGGAUUUUCUGAUUUUUUAAAGUCAAGAGUUCCUAGUUUCUUGUUCCUACUCAUAUGUAGUUGUAGUAUUGCAAUUUCUCUGGGUCUUCCACAUGACGACCAGCUCUCUUUUUUUUCAGCAGCCCCCAACCUUUUAGAGUAUGCCAGCUCCUAUUAGAGCUUCAAGUCAGAGGAAACAGAAGUUAGUCCUUCAAAAAGCAGAUGUGCCUCUGAUGUCAUCAUACAGUCAAUCAAACUUAUCAGCUUACAGCUUUAAAAACAACAGGAAUGGUUUAAAUUUCUGUACAUGAUAUGCUACUUUAGGAUCGGUUUUCACUAUAGUCAAAAAGCUUAUUCACAUUUCUGAGGGAUAUAAAUUUUUGUCUUUUCUCACAGGUUGACUUUAUGAUUUCUAUCCAAAUUAAUUUUUAUUUUCCAAUAGAUUCACCACCUAUUUUUCAGUUUUAAUGAAUGAUCUAUAAGCAGCUACCUGAAGGAAUCAAUCUUGAUUUCCUUGAAUUCUUUACUAAAAGGGAUUCCUAUAAGUUUAUUGUAAUCUGUUUGAAAGUUUGGGUUUCUGUGAAGUGAGGAUUUGUGACAGAGGCUUCCCUGUAAUGGAUGAAAUGUUCCCAGGCCAUCAACUGUAAGAUCUGUUCAUACAAUUGCCUGUGGUUAGUUUUAGUCAAGUAGAGCCAUUGAUGAGAACAAAUUUCUUUUCUGCAGUUUAAUAAAAGGACUAGGGGAAAUGCUCUCAAAAAAUACAGAAAAAAAAAAAGAAAGAAAUGUUUUAUUCCCUAGGUAUUGCCAUUUGAGAAGAGACCAGAACACAAUGGCCAAACUGAAGAAUGGAUGUCAUUGAAAGGAGAAAUCUGGGCCAGACCAGCCUGGGGCAUAAGGAAUUGUGUGGAUCCAACCCUUCUGAAUAUCACUUAAAAGAUUAUUCUGCACCGACUGUCUUAGGUCCCUGGAAUUCACUCAGUCUCAGAUAAACCAGCAUGGUUGGCACCCUCAGUCCCUGUGUUACUGGAUUGGGUCUCUGGUAUGUGGAGCCAAGAUGCCCAGACUGGGGUCUGGAUGUAUCCAUGUCUAUCUACAUUCAGAGAUGAGGAAACUGAUGCUCAGAGAAGCGAAGCAGUUCCUCUUCGUGAGUCUAAGAAUUGAGAAAUGAACCCAAGUCUGUUUGAUUCCAGUACUGCUGUACUAAAGACACAAGGACCAGCGAUUAAAGGACCCCACCCAGGAUCCCAGCCUUAAAAGGGUUUUAAAUAGGAAAGGUAGCAGAAUACAACAGUCAUUAACAUGGUAUUAUGUAAAAAUGUGGAUGUGUAACCGAUGUGAUUCUGCAACUUGUA